CCUUCUUCUGCCCCUCCCCAUGGUGUGCCCUGUAGAUCCAGUGUAGGAGCCUCGGCUGGGCUCAGAAGGCUGCGCCACACCCCAUCUUCAGGACUCACCAGCAAAGAUAUAACCUUGACGUCUACAUCUCCCCAACAACUGGGAUGACCUCAGUGAGGAGAGGCCAAUCUCCCCGAGACUGUGAGGUCCUCAGAGUUGAAGGGAGUCGUGGUGGGACCUGGGAGGACCAGGUAGACCUCGAAUGGUUUGACACAGAGGCCUUCUUUGAGAUCCUACAUCGGCAGUCUCUGACAGUGACGGCCAAUCUCAGCCAAACCAACAAGGAGGUAACUGGAAGCCCCAAAAGGUGCUCAAGGCAGGCAGAGACAAGCAGGGCUGG
rnacentral:lncRNA from 1 species